rnacentral:rRNA from 1 species
CACGUAGGAGGCGAGCGUUGUCCGGAAUCAUUGGGCGUAAAGAGCGCGCAGGCGGCUUGGCAAGUCGGGUGUGAAAUCCCGGGGCUCAACCCCGUGACUGCAUCCGAUACUGUCAGGCUAGAGGUAGGUAGGGGAGAUCGGAAUUCCUGGUGUAGCGGUGAAAUGCGCAGAUAUCAGGAGGAACACCGGUGGCGAAGGCGGCUUCCUGGACCGACACUGACGCUGAGGCGCGAAAGCUAGGGGAGCAAACGGG